AGGGCAACGCUGCUCCAGACUCACCUUGCUCCUGGGUGGUGAGGACCUCUUGGUAAGGCAGAUCGGCCGCUCUCGCCAUGCCCCACUUCUUGGAUUGGUUUGUGCCCGUGUAUCUGAUGAUCUCCAUUCUCAUCCUGGUGGGCUUUGGAGCUUGCAUCUACUACUUUGAGCCAGGACUCCAGGAAGCCCAUAAGUGGCGAACACAGAGGCCAAUCAUGGAACGAGACCUUCGGAAGACACUGAUGAUUCGGGACAACCUGGCCUUUGGGGUGCCUGAGGUCUGACAAGCUGCCUAUUGCAUCCAGAAGAGUCUCUACGGGGUGGGCAGCAGAUCACAAGCCUCAGUAGGGAUGACAGUCUUGCCCUGGUGUAAGCGAGGCUGGUCAUCACUUUGCGCUUUGCUGAUCUGGGUCGUGUACUCACCACUCACCAUUCUGCCCCUUUGCUUCUUAGUCAAGGUUUGUGUGACGCUGUAGACUUGGGCUUCCCAUGUGCUCACAGCUCUUCACCCAGCCAAAGACAAAGACUUCUGCUCCUCCCCAUGGCCAAGACUGAUGAACCACUCAAAUGAAACAUCUCUUGUUAAUCACAUGAGUUUGAGCUGUCUGGCAUCUCAACACAACCUUCAGUAGGAAAGUUCUCGACAGGGUAGCAGUCUUGCAAAGGGAUACAGAACCUUUUACUCCUAUUCACGAACUUAAAUCUAACCCAUUUUGUUUAAGUCCAGGGGGUCUUUUGGGGGAAGUAAAUGGGAUUUCAACACAUCAUUGCUUCAGCUGAGCUCUUCACAGUACCCAUCCUUGGUGCUGGGAUGGUAAGCUUGCUGAAGCUCUGUGCAGAGGGGCCAAGGGCUCAGCGAGCCCCAGAGACUGACUGCCUUUAUCCCUGCUAAAGGCACACCACUUCUGUUUCUGUUUGGGAGGUGGAGAACAUUCAUCCAUCCAUCCAUCCAUUCCAGAUGCACCAUAUUCAAAUUAAAGGUCUUUA